rnacentral:rRNA from 1 species
GACAGAGGGUGCAAACGUUGUUCGGAAUUACUGGGCGUAAAGAGCUCGUAGGCGGCUUGUCGCGUCGAAUGUGAAAACUUGGGGCUCAACUCCAAGCUUGCAUUCGAUACGGGCAGGCUAGAGUUCGGUAGGGGAGACUGGAAUUCCUGGUGUAGCGGUGAAAUGCGCAGAUAUCAGGAGGAACACCGGUGGCGAAGGCGGGUCUCUGGGCCGAUACUGACGCUGAGGAGCGAAAGCGUGGGGAGCGAACAGG